AAUCGAAGCAGUGAACUUAAGCCCCAGUAAACGGCGGCCGUAACUAUAACGGUCCUAAGGUAGCGAAAUUCCUUGUCGGGUAAGUUCCGACCCGCCCGAAAGGCGUAACGAUUUGGGCACUGUCUCAACAACAGACUCGGUGAAAUUGUAAUUCCGGUGAAGAUGCCGGAUACCUGCGACAGGACGGAAAGACCCCAUGGAGCUUUACUGUAGCUUGACAUUGGGUCUUGGUACUACAUGUACAGGAUAGGUGGGAGGCUUUGAAACCAGGACGCCAGUUUUGGCGGAGCCAUCCUUGGGAUACCACCCUUGUAGUACUGGGACUCUAACCAUAGGCCAUGAAUCUGGUCUUGGGACACUGUCAGGUGGGCAGUUUGACUGGGGCGGUCGCCUCCCAAAAGGUAACGGAGGCGCUCAAAGGUUCUCUCAGUACGGUCGGAAAUCGUACGUAGAGUGUAAAGGCAAAAGAGAGCUUGAUUGCAAGACAUACAGGUCGAGCAAGGAUGAAAAUCGGACUUAGUGAUCCGGUGGUUCUGCGUGGAAGGGCCAUCGCUCAACGGAUAAAAGCUACCCUGGGGAUAACAGGCUUAUCUCCCCCAAGAGUCCACAUCGACGGGGA
rnacentral:rRNA from 1 species